GACGAACGCUGGCGGCGUGCUUAACACAUGCAAGUCGAACGGAAAGGCCCUGCUUUUGUGGGGUGCUCGAGUGGCGAACGGGUGAGUAACACGUGAGUAACCUGCCCUUGACUUUGGGAUAACUUCAGGAAACUGGGGCUAAUACCGGAUAGGAGCUCCUGCUGCAUGGUGGGGGUUGGAAAGUUUCGGCGGUUGGGGAUGGACUCGCGGCUUAUCAGCUUGUUGGUGGGGUAGUGGCUUACCAAGGCUUUGACGGGUAGCCGGCCUGAGAGGGUGACCGGCCACAAUGGGACUGAGAUACGGACCAGACGCCUACGGGAGGCAGCAGUGGGGAAUAUUGCACAAUGGGCGGAAGUCUGAUGCAGCAACGCCGCGUGCGGGAUGACGGGCUUCGGGGUGUAAACCGCUUUCGCCUGUGACGAAGCGUGAGUGACGGUAAUGGGUAAAGAAGCACCGGCUAACUACGUG
rnacentral:rRNA from 1 species